AGUUCGAUCAUGGCUCAGAUUGAACGCUGGCGGGGAUGCUUUACACAUGUAAGUCGAACGGCAGCACGGACUUCGGUCUGGUGGCGAGUGGCGAACGGGUGAGUAAUGUAUCGAACGCAGCCUAGUAGCGGGGGAUAACUACGCCAAGCGUAGCUAAUACCGCAUACGCCCUUCGGGGGAAAGCGGGGAACCUUCGCCUCGGCAUCAUUAGAGCGGCCAGAUAUCGGAUUAGCUAGUUGGUGGGGUAACGCUCACCAAGGCGACGAUCCGUAGCUGGUUUGAGAGGACGACCAGCCACACUGGGACGGAGACACGACCCAGACUCCUACGGGAGCAGUGGGGAAUUUUGGACAAUGGGGGAAACCUCGAUCCAGCCAUCCCGCGUGUGCGAUGAAGGCCUUCGGGUUGUGACAAAGCACUUUUGGCAGGGAAAGAAACGGCAUCGGGAUAUCACCCCGUGCAACUGACGGUACCUGCAGAAUAAGCACCGGCUAACUACGUGCCAAAAAGCCGCGGUAAUACGUAGGGUGCAAGCGUUAAUUCAGCUCAUUGGGCGUAAAGCGUGCGCAGGCGGUUCGGAAAGAAAGAUGAAAUCCCAGAGCUUAACUUUGGAACUGCAUUUUUAACUACCGAGCUAGAGUGUGUCGAGGAGGUGGAAUUCCGCGUAGCAGUGAAAUGUAGAUAUGCGGGAAGAAACUACACUGAUGGCGAAGGCAGCCUCCCGGGAUAACACUGACGCUCAUGCAUUGAAAAAGUGAGCAAACAGGAUUAGAUACCCUGGUGUCCGCCCUAAAACGAUGUCAACUAGCCGCUUGGGCCUUCGGGCCUCGUAGCGCAGCUAACGCGUGAAGCUGACCGCCUGGGGAGUACGGUCGCAAGAUUAAACUCAAAGGAAUUGACGGGGACCCGCAUGCAGCGGUGAUAUUGAAGGGAUUAAUUCGAUGAAACGCGAAAAACCGUACCUACCCUUGACAUGUCUGAAUCCCGAAGAGAUUUGGGGAGGCUCGCAAGAGAACUGAACAUACAGGUGCUGCAUGGCUGUCGUCAGCUCGUGUCGAGAUGUUGGGUUAAGUCCCGCAACGAGCGCAACCUCAAUAUUGGGUUGCUACGAAAGGGCAAUCAAUGAGACUGCCGGUGACAAAAACCGGAGGAAGGUGGGGAUGACGUCAAGUCCUCAUGGCCCUUAUGGGUAGGGCUUCACACGUCAUACAAUGGUCGGGACAGGAAUGUUAACCCGGCGAGGGGGAGCCAAUCCCAGAAACCCGAUCGUGAACUGGAUCGCAGUCUGCAACUCGACUGCGUGAAGUCGAAUCGCUAGUAAUCGCGGAUCAGCAUGUCGCGGUGAAUACGUUCCCGGGUCUUGUACACCGCCCGUCACACCAUGGGAGUGGGUUUUACCAGAAGUGAAACAGUUCAACCGCAAGGAGUGCGGCGAUUACCACGGUAGGAUUCAUGACUGGGGUAAGGUCAGAAGGUAG
rnacentral:rRNA from 1 species